rnacentral:rRNA from 1 species
UACGUAGGGGGCAAGCGUUGUCCGGAGUUACUGGGCGUAAAGCGCACGCAGGCGGUUCGCCAAGUUUGGAGUGACAGUUGUCGGCUCAACCGACAAAGGACUUCAAAAACUGGUGAACUUGGGGACGAGAGAGGAACAUGGAACUCCAGGUGUAGUAGUGAAAUGCGUAGAUAUCUGGAAGAACACCAAUGGCGAAGGCAAUGUUCUGGCUCGUUUCUGACGCUCAGGUGCGAAAGCCAGGGGAGCGAACGGG